CCUAAUCUCAAGCAGUUGACAUUACGUGCUACUAAUUUUGGCAUGGAAAGAUAUGGUUGUGCUCGCUAAUUUACCCAAUCUUGAGGUGCUCAAAGCAGAUUAUGCAUUCCAUGGAACAGAUUGGAGACUAAAUGAAGAUGUUGUGUUUCAAAGAUUAAAAUAUCUAUGACUUGAGUGGGAAUGUCCGGAAAGGUGGGAAGCAACUAGUUAUAAUUUUUCGAAGCUUGAGCAACUAGUCCUGAGGUGGCUCAAAAGCUAGAGGAGAUUCCCCAAAGUAUUGGAGACAUAAUGACACUAAAAUUAAUCCAAAUAGAUUUUGCAGCUUUGCAAUUGAGACUAGUGCAAAGAAAAUUCAACAAGAGCAAGAAAGCUAUGGAAAUGGUGAGCUUCAAGUUCGAAUUAUAGAUAAAUUUGAACUGGAAGUGUAGCAGAAUAUACUUGUAAUGCAAUGGAAUAUAAGCCUACAGGUGCUGGUGUGAGAAUCACUGCUUUGUAUUCCAUCUUAAUGGCAAACGGCUAGUGUGGAGAGAAGAAUGCUUGCUAUUUCUUCAAAUUUACCGAUCAAUUGUUAAACAUGUAAUAUUGCUCAAUAUUUAUAGGUAGUAUAGUUUCAAAACUAGUUUAAAUAUAACAAAUUUCUACAUAAAGGAACCAAAAGAGACAUGUUAAUUGAAGGUUAAGUGUGCUUAAUCAGAUAUCAUAAUAACCAAAAUAAGAAUUUACAAAUAACCGAGAGACCAAGAGUGUUAUCAUCCCAAGCUUCGUUACAAACAUAUAGUGCAAAAAAAAAAAAAAAAACAGAGGCUAGAAAAGAGCCAACAAAGAACAACACAACUUUACAUACACCAAGCUUUUAAAUCAAGUGUCUUCAUUGUAUCAAAGUCGGGAAAUAUGAAAGCAAGCUAUAGUGAGAUACCAACUCAAGCAGUUACAUUGGAAGAAAGCCAUCAAAUAUUCGAGAAAUUUUCAUCUUUUUGUCUGAUUAUUCUUAUUUGCACUUUGUGCUAUUAUGCUGCUUCUACUCUCUUGAGUUUACAAAUUAGAAUAAAGUAUAAAUAAAGGUGGUCAUGCUCGUUUUGUACGUCGUCCAACUUCAAGGGCGAGGUCUGUGUCGAUUUUCAGGGAAAUGUCAAGUGCUUUCACAGAAUGUGUUAGGGCACCGC